rnacentral:rRNA from 1 species
UACGUAGGGUGCAAGCGUUGUCCGGAAUUAUUGGGCGUAAAGAGCUCGUAGGCGGUUUGUUGCGUCGGCUGUGAAAUCCCGAGGCUCAACCUCGGGUCUGCAGUCGAUACGAGCAAACUAGAGUGUUGCAGGGGAGACUGGAAUUCCUGGUGUAGCGGUGAAAUGCGCAGAUAUCAGGAGGAACACCGGUGGCGAAGGCGGAUCUCUGGGCCUUACCUGACGCUCGAGGCGCGAAAGCUAGGGGAGCGAAACUGG